GGGUAAAUGCGUCUAAUAAGAGAUUCGUUUGACCGCUAGUUCAUCAAAUCUGAGUAAUCUGCCACAUCAGACCCAAGUCACAACCCCGCGCACACAUUGCCACCACCCACCAGAACCGGUCUGGCCCUGGUGCAUGUCCCUCUCUGUCCCACACCCACGGUCCGUAUGCAGGCGUAAAUGUCUUUCAGCUUCUCCACAUGAAACCGGCACUCAGUCCUUGUCUUAGACUUGUCUUACUCUGACUGAAUCUCCACAUAAACGUUCAAACUGUCUCAAAAAUCACCUCAAAUUGCACACUUGUAGCUCGGAGAGAGUGAGUGAUCCAAACGGUCUACAGACAGAAACCCCAGUCCUCCAGGUGAGGCUCUUGGACCGGCUCUCUCAGACUCAGCCUGUCUUCCAGAAAAGCACUCAGCUGUGGAUAAAAAGACAGCGCAGUUCGACUUAAUGAAAGAUUCAGUACCGCGCUGUCGUGUCAAAGAUGACAUCAGGCUUGACUCAAAAACUGAGAAUAUAAUGAAAAAGGCAUAAAAAAAAUAGAAGUUAAAGAUAAAGACAGUCUAUUUUUCGACAUUUUAACACCCCCUAACAAGCUAAUUGUUUGACUGACACAUAAAUGCAGCAUUUACUUAGGUGUGGUGGCUAACUUCUUCGUACGCCCAUAGGCUGUAUCAAGUGUCAAUCAUAGAAAACAUGAACUCCCUAAUAACUUUUAAAAACAGAGCUUCACAGAAAAACGAGGACUUGAGCACAAACCAGUCUGACAGUAACUACAUGUCAACAUCGCAACGAGGAGGGAGAAAAAUUUAUAUUCUGUGUAAUAACUUUCUAAAGUUUGUCCACAGCUCCAUAGGGAUUGCUGGAGGAGGCGGGAUUUAUGACCUAUGCUGCAGCCCGUCACCAGAGGGUGCUGUUCGCGGAGUGGCUUCACCCAGUGAGGAGGCAGCUAUGAUGAAUUCCACUGUGGUCAAAACUUGUUUUUGUUGAAACGAUGGAAAUAAAACAGUUUUAAAAAUUAAGAACCUAGCUUGGUGUUGGUACUAGUCAAGAACUUUUUAGUGAAAUAUGAAGACGAACUCAGGCCUCAGUUCCACGACACACCAGUUAUUUUAGACACUUAACGGCUACACCUCAAAGUUAGCUUACAUUAGCUGGAAGUGUUUUCUAUAGAGACAAAAACAAGUUAAGGUAAUAAUGAAGAUUUUACUUUUUAAGACGAACUACGACAUCUUUUCACCAUUCCAGCUACCUCAGCCAAAGCUGUCUACAAUACUUGAUCACGCUAAUGUGUUUUUAAGCUAACAAGAGACUGACUCUUGUAAAACUGAUGGUGUUUAUGCGGCGUUCCAGUAGUACUCGGAAGUUGGGAUUUCCGAGCUCCGAGUCCGACAUUCAUCUGGAACGCCCCCCUGAAGUCGGAUUUAAGACUCGACCCCGACAACGUCAUAAUCCAAGAUGGCAGCGCAGGGCAUCAACAGUCAAGAGUAACAGUGAAAGCUCUUGUAAUGUUUUAUUUAUUAGCACUUCUGUUUUGUUUUUGUGAAAUUAAAUAAGUGGUUUAUGUUGUACUGCCCAACAUCUAACUGUGAACACGGUGCUAUGGUGUCUGUAAGAGUAAAAUACUGUGUUAUGCGUCGUUUACAGCUGGUAUCGACAACUAACAACGGCUAACAACCGCUAACAACAGGUAACUGUAGGCGUCCAUCUUGGUUUUCCAACUUGUUAACUGGAACGCUGUCAACUGGGGUUUAACAUCAUUCCCAGGUGACUUCCAAAGUAACUGGAAUGCAGCAUUAUUUGCCAAUUAACAAUGGACAGGACAUAUUUUAAUGAUAUCAAUUUGCUAGUUUCAUGUUUGCAUACAAACUGAUUCAUUAAACCCAUCGGAUGAGCCUCGUUAUCACGCUGCUUACUUAAAUUCACAGUUUGAAAACGGCUCAGCAGAAACACUGACAUAUCCGCUGAGAUAUGAAGCUGCUGUAUGACAUGUUUACCGUCACCUUGUAUUUUUUUGUGUUGAUGCAGUGGUUAUAGUGCAGUGAAGCCGUCUGUGUGCUGCCAACAGUUCCUGCUGAUCCAGACUGUGCAUUUGGUAUUCUACCACUUUAUUUUCCUCACCCAGAAUGCACUGGAGACAAUCCCCCUGUCACAUAUCACCGGGAUCGGCCCACAGGAGAAACUCAUUUGCAUCUGACAUGAAUAUUUUGCAAGUUGGUGAAUAAAUUUUCAGCAAAGUGAAAUGCCAAGAAAUGGCGCACAUGAUCCAAGACACUGUGGGGUGUUAAAUGCUCAUUUAAUGAACAUUUGAGGGCAUCUCUGCCACAAACCGAGGUUAAUUCCCAACACUGGUGCUAUGCUAAUGCCAGCGCUGCCUGUCAAGAAAUGUCAAUAUGAACAGACUCUUUGUCAGAAGGCUGAUGACUAGAGGAUGGGAUGUUGCCUAGUAACCGAGAAACCUGACAGACUGACUGAUCAAGCUUGAGACCGAACAGUUGGUGUGUGUAGGAUGAGUAUACAUGCUCCAACAAGUGUUCUGGGUCUGUGUGUGUGUGUAAACUGUGUGAAACUGUGCUGUAACCGUGCUAUCAGGAAAAUGCUAAUGUCUGCGACAGGGUCAACAAGUCUGGUCAGUGUGAAGCCGGGCGGCCUGCAGUCAAGAGACCGAGGCAGAUGGUCAUUCAUUCGGACUAUCUUGACCUUGUUUUUGAUUUGUUUGAGGAAAACCGAGGCUGGCAUAUUUCCACCAAUAAGCAGGGAUGUUUUAGUGAGGAGCCUCUGAACUCGUCUGUCAAUCUCCAAGGACCUUCAUCAAACUGGGGUGACCAUAUUCUGACUUCCCAAGAAGAGGACACGAUGAUACGAGGGCAGAGUCACAGAGUCGCACGAAGUUCAUUUUGAGAGUUUUUCGGGUUGGAUUGAGUGUCUUUUACUCGCUUCUAACUCACUUCCGUACGAAACUACAGACAUUUGAAGGAUUUUACAAACUUCCCCAGACAAAGCCAGACAAGGCCAGACAGCCCCCUAAAAGAGGACAUGUCCGGGUAAAAGAGGACGUAUGGUUACCCUACGUCAAACCAAAUGACAAAAUACUUUUAGCUGAUACGACAACAACAACAAAAAAAAGCAAUUCAGCUUUAAGUUGCCAGGACUGGUGACUGGUCCAACCUCCAAGUAAAAGAUGACCUUUGGGUAAAUGCAAAUCAAAAGAUUUAGCAUGAUGUUAACUUACAGUAGGAUAUCUAAUGUCUAUUUUUCAAAUACUGCAAGAAGACCAGAUCAGGUUACAUCAUAACAACCCAAAAACCUUUGCACAAAUCCAACUUGUACAGACCACUGGGCCCUCUGGAUACCCUUCCGAUGGAUUUAACAUCGACUAGUGUCCUCUAGAUGCAAUUCCUACAUAAUAACUGCUGGCAAAGUGCACUUUAAAUGCAAUUCAGGUAUAUAAAAUGUAAAAUCUGGAUGCCAUUUCAAUGAGUUUAACCUUACUGAGUGCCCACAAGAUGCCCUACAGUGUCCUUAAAGUUGACAAAGCACCUAUGAGAGUCCUCCCAGUGUAUACAACUUUAAGAAGUACCUUCUGGAUGUCCUUCCAAGGUAGUAAAUGUUAACAAAGAGCUCUCUGGAUGUCCGUCUGAUAUUUAAAAAUAAAGACAAGUGACCCCUAGAUGCCCUCCCAGUGGAAAAAGUGAUUAAAACAUGCCCUCUGGAUGCCCUACCUGUAUUUAAAAUGUAAAGUAAAUGGCCCCCUAGAUGCCAGUCCAGUAUGUAAAAUGUAAAAAGUGACCCCUAGAUUCCCUCCCAGUUGAAAAAGUGAUUAAAACACGCCCUCUGGAUGCCCUACCCGUAUUUAAAAUGUAAAGAAAAUGGCCCCCUAGAUGCCAGUCCAGUAUGUAAAAUGUAAAAAGUGACCCCUAGAUUCCCUCCCAGUGCAAAAAGUGAUUAAAACACGCCCUCUGGAUGCCCUACCUGUAUUUAAAAUGUAAAGAAAAUGGCCCUUGAUGUCAGUCCAGUAUGUAACAUGUGAAAAGUGACCCCUGGGUUUCCUAUCACUUCUAAAUACCACACAUCAUUCUCAUGAACCCUCAUGAAUACCAUUAUUCUGCUAACAUCAAACCCUCUUAAGUUAAUUUUAAACCCUUUCCCUCAGUAAAUCCUCUAAAUCUAUGCACAGGCAGCAGAGUUAACAGAGCUGAAACAGCCAUGAGCUUUUUUCUUAUUUCUGCUUCAUACUUUUUACCCUUUCACCAUUUACUGCUAUAAAAAGCAGAGGCCGGUUUGUGUCCUGAUUAAUGACCUGUAAUCAGUCUCUCUGGAAACACCUAAUGUAACAAGCCUUUUAGGCUGUAACUGCAAAUUGUGACUGUGCCCCGGCUAAAGGGCUUUGUCGGAAUGGGCGAAUUAAGACACUGCCAGUAAUGGAGACCAGUUAUCAUUGAAUGGAUGUCUAAUCCAGACCUGCCUGUCUGUCGGCAGAGACAGAGAGCAGAGGUAAAACCAUAAAUCUGAAAAUAUCAUCAAACCUGUCUUUCAUUUUCUUUCCAUAACCAUAAGACCCAUGAAUGAUCAUUAUUCAGGGUGCCAUCGAUUAAAAUAACAUGCGAUGAGACUCUAAAUCCUUCAUUUGAAUCAGUCAUUACUCAUCACGGCAGCAGGCCACGUCACAGGGAUGUAAUUAACAAACCGGGCUGAGGAGUCACGACAGGCUGACACAUUCAGUACUUAAAGCGAGGGCAAACAAAACCGUGAAUGACUCAGGUCACCCCGAGCAGGACUGGAUCUUGUCUCGUGACUUUUAUUUUAAAAGACGUGUUUUAUCAAAAGCCCACCUGUCUUAUCGAGCUUCAUCUGGCCUCUUUUCUUCUAACCCUGAUUCUGAAUCUGUACCUUAAAAAAAACAUGAGUAGUGUGGGAGUGAGGGGGUGAGGAGAGAUGUGGAGACUAUCAAAUCAGGCAGUAAAAAAAAGCAGAGGUACCAAAUUCCUGUAAGGGUAUCUAAGGAAGUAUGUGCAAAAACGACUCUAUGACAGUAUGUUAUACUUGAGUCACUUUAAGUCUGUGUCGCCAAGCAUCACUCUGGAAGCCCUUCAGGAAUAGUGGCCUGAUGUUUGUGUUGGGUUUUGGGAGCUGAGGUUGGUUGGUAAAAGGUUGUGGGGUUUGACCAUUUGUAGGGUUUGGGUCGUUUGGCACAGAGGUUUUAGGAGUUACGAAUUUUUAAGUAAUAGGAUUGUAUGAGGUUGGGGUUUUUCAGGGAAAGGGUAGCUAGGUUUGGUGGGAUGUGGUGUUUGUGGUUUGUGGCAUGUUUACAGGUUGAAAUUAAAGGUAGGGGAGUCGGGGUUGCCUGGUUUGAUGAGGUUUGAGGUUGCAGUUCAUGUUUUGGUUGGGGUGUUGGGGUUAUGGGGGUGUAGGACUUCUGGGUUAUAUCAGUUUGGCACUAGGGGUAGGCAGUUGAGGCAGAGUCAUUGUCCCCCAAUUUCCACCGCAUCCGGAACGGCUACAAAAAGGCUGUAUCUGCCGAUUGUAGCUGAUCGUAACCAUUCGAGUUAAUGUGUCAAUUUCCACCGGCUUCUUUCCGUUCUGCUGUGGAUCGCUGGACUCCGCAGCUGAUCGCAAGAGUUCUAUUUUUUCCGGACACUGGAGCAUGCCGGAUAAAUUCAGCACAGAUUAACCCGUGCUGGAAAGGAAUUCGAGCACAGACACAGAGUAAAACACCAGACUUCUUUUCAAAAUAAACAUCAUGCAAAUGGGUGGGGACAAACAAGUUAAAGGUUCUGUCCGUAAUCCACCAUGAAAUUCGCCUCACAAAGGGAUCCGGUAGGAAUUGGCGUACAGCAAAAAUCGCCGCAGUUCCGGAUCGGAGCCAUUCUGGAAGUUCGGGGUUCAUUACCAGAGGGGUUAUGGGGUUUGUGGAGUUGGAAUUGUUCCUGCUGGGGCUUGAGGUUUGGUGAGGGGUAGGUUUUUGAUGUUGGGUUAGUUCUGCUUUUGGAUGAGAUGUUUAAGGUAAGAUAAAGGGUUGUGUUGGGGUUUAAGGGUUGGGGUUUGAAAGAUAGGGUUUUUAAGUGCUUGUGGGAUGUGGUGGGUUUAAGGUUUGGGUUUUUUUUGGCACAGGGCUCUUAGGGCUGGGUGAGAUUGGGUUUUGAGGUUGGGGUAUGAAAGUAGGGGGUUUAAGGAUGUGAUGUAGGCAUUUGGAUUCUUGGGUGUUGUUGGCUUGAGGUUACUCAGGGUUGGGGGUUUUAGGAUGCUGAGGUUUAGAAAAACUUGAAUAUCAGAAUUUGUUGCUUUUUACUGCUUUUGCUGUAGUCCAAGACCCGUCUGUUUACUUGUUGAGUUUAAUAUCAUUAUGACAUGACUGAUGCCUUACUUUACAAAGAACCAGGCGGCAAUAAACCCGUAUUAUUCUUUAAUUAAGGGGCGCUCACAAGAGCCCUGAGCUCAACACGUCCCCACCUGUUGAAAUUAAUUACAACAAUUUAAAAGGGCAUGAUGAUAGCUGUGAUUUUUCACCGUGUUUCUUGAAGCAAUAACAGCCCUCUUUCUUUUUAAUGUUAGAUCCCAGAUUCAGGCAGAGCACACAGCGUUAAACGAUCUGAAGGUUUCACAAGAGAGGGUAAGGUUGAGUCCCUGUUAUCAAGUGGACGCUUUGUGCAGUUUGUCAUUAUGUCUCUUAGCUAUCUAUCUGCGCUUAUAAUAGGGUCUGAUGCCCUGAGCUGCCCACCUGCUUUUAGAGCGGUCUUUGAUUAAAGCCUGUCCUUUAUUUCCUGCCGCAGAGUCCGUGUCAGUGUGUAGAAGGGCAAAGAGAGGGUAGAGGUUCUGAGCAAGACUCAAUGAAAACACAGGCGAGGACUAUCCAAGUGUAGGAAAUGUCUAUACGGGGGGAUUUUAAACGAAGGCAAACAGACAGUGAGGGAUGUCUGUAGGAAGGUGAGAUGGCAGGAUGAUAGAUGACCAAAGACCCUCACCGGGAGGACAGCAAAGACGGAGAGAAAGAAAGGAAAGAGAGUCAAUCUGAUGCUGUUGAAAACGUAUCAAGAAAAACAAGACAUUGACUUUCCACUUGGGAUGGAACCGACUGGGAUAAUCAAUAACAACCGAGUUAUUUAUCUUUUUUACUCUUCAGUGAGUAGUUUGUGCACUCUAAUGGGCUCAACUUUUGUGAAAUAAGGUACUUUGUUGAACUGUAUGCAGCAGCUCCUUCCUUCCUUGGUAAAUCUCUUUGCUACUCACUCCAGCCACUCCAACUCCCCUAACUCCACCAACUCCACCACUAAAUUCACCGGUGUCGUACAGUAUCGAGAGACAACAGCGAAAAUGAAGGUAAGAGAGUAAAAUCAGCGGAAUAAGAGAUUGAAAUGAAAAGAGAGCAGUGACUCUGCAUUUUCUUUGUUUCUUUCCACUGACUCAUCCCUUUCAAUAAGCACAUUCAAACACUGACACAACGGCCCCUCUCUGACUCUCUCUCCUCUUCUACCCGUUUAUCUUCUUUCUGUCCUUCCUCAACGCUUUUCUCUCUUUCUCUUACUGCCUCUCUUACUGCCUCUCCUUCCUUCCUUUUCUUUCUCUCCGCUCUGAAUGCUCAGAGCUGUUUGUUUGGAAGAACUUCCUCCCUCUGUUUUUUCCCCGCUUCAAUAAAUGAGCUGGUCUUGUGAUGGGAAACAAGAACUUCCCUCUUUGAGUCUGUUUUAGGGAACACACACACACACACACACACACACACACACGGGCAUAUACAGUAUGUGCACUGAACAUACGGUAUCCUCUAUAAUCGUAGUUUUAAAUACAUUAAAUAAACAAUCCAUUUAAAGGUCAGAUAAGCCUGUCAUAUAGAGAAAAUAAAGAAAAUUUAAAAAAAAAAACACAAAAAGAAAAAAGAAAAAAAAAUUUUUUUUACAGAAUUUGAAAGAGUUUAAAAUAGAAUAGCAAAAAGGAAAAGAAAAAAAGGAAGCAAAGAAAUGAAUAUAUAGGUAAUAAAAGAAAGAAAGCAGAAAAAGAAAGAAAGAGAAAAAAGAAAAAGAAGAAAGAAAGAAAGAAAGAAAGAAAGAAAGAAAAAAGAAAGAAGGAAGAAAGAAGGAAGGAGAAAAAAAGAAAGAAAAAGAAAGAAAGAAAAAAGAAAGAAACAAAGAAAAAAGAAAGAAAGAAAGAAAGAAAAAGGAAAAAAAUAGAAGGUGAGAAGGAUAGAAAUAAAUAAAGAAAGAAAAAGGGGAAGGAAAUAAAGAGAGAAACAGAAAAAAGAAAGAGAAACAGGUAGAAAGAAAAAGAAGCGAAAACAUAAAGAAAGGAAAAAAGGAAAGAAAGAAUGAAAAAAGGAAGGAAGGAAAAGCAAAGUAGGAAAAAAAAGAAAGAAGAAUGAAAAAAAGAAAAAAAGAAAAAUUAGAAAAAACUAAGAGAGGAAAGAAGUAAGACAAGAAAGAAGAAAAAACGAGGAAAAAAAAUCAAGAAAUAUGUUUUUAAAAAAGAAGAAAAAAGAAAGAAAAGAAAAAAUAGAAGGAAAAGAACAAGAUGGGGAAAGGAAAAGGCAGAAGCGAGAAAAUGAAAGAAAGAUAUGAAAUGGAAAGAAAAAUAAUUUAAGAAAAAAGAAACAAAAAAUUCAGAUGACAUUUUUUUUUUCUUCCUGUUUAAAUGAAGUUGUUCUCAUUUUUGUCAACCUGCAGCAGCAGAACCUGGUUUACGGUAUAAUUUCAGCUCUAACACAUCAAUAAUCCCCUUUCUGCUUCAGCUCCAACAACACGACACCCCUCCGGCUAACACCCUGACUUCGCAGCGAUGUCGGCGCUCACCUGUAAACUCGGUGUUAAUAUUUGAUUAUUUCUGUGUUUGUUCCUUUCGAGAGGAGACAGAGUCGGUGAGCUCUCAUCCAUCUCCCAGCAUGCUAAUCGACAUAAGGCCUGACUCAUACAUGACUCACUGAAGUGUGAGGUAGAGAAACAGGUUGUUGUUUUCUUUUUAUUUUAGUUUCACACCAUAUUUUCGCACGUGUAUCUUGUGAUUGUGAGUCUAAAGGGCGUUUUCUGUAACCGCAAUACAAAUAACUGUUCUUAUUUGCAUACUCUACUGACACUGUGUCUAUUGUUUUAGCGACACCAACCAGUAAGAGGAGGAGGAAAGAAAGGUACAGAGAUGCAUAUGUUCAGGUGGUUUACACACCUGGGGAGACUAAAUUAAGGUUGAAUAAAUCAGGUUUUCGAGCAACAUCUCCUGCCAUAUGGAUUAAUGGUCCUUACACAUCGACGCCAACGCGAAUAUAGAACGCAAAAUUACGAAAUGUUGACGCACCUGACUAUACACAUCAGGCCCGAUGCAUCCUUACACACCGGAGCAGACGCGAAUAUAGAACGCAAAAUUACGAAAUAUUCGGAGGUGAAUUUUGAUGAACCUGACAAUACACAUCAAGCCUGAUGCGAUUUUCCAACUUUUGGGACGCAUCCCGGGGAAGACUUUUCCUGGUGAAAGUCCCGCCUCCUUUGCCUCUGAUUGGCUAGAAAAGCUGGAAACGUCAUCACACACUCAAGCCAAAUGGUCAGCACUUAUAACCAAUCAGAGGCGAUAAGAUAAGCACAUGAAACUAUGGUAACAACCUUUAGCUUACGUUAGCACAGAUGAAAGUUAAAACAAAGACGUUUAGCAAACUGUUAAAGCACACAAACCAUCGUCAUAUGAGAAAUCCGACGCUAUGACUCUCCACAAGUUGUCCUUCAGGUCGUUAUCUUUGUAAUGUUUGUGUCUUUUAUCAAAAAUCACUCUGUUCUCCGACACAUAAACAAUCAGCCGGUCGGCCAUGUUGGAUACACCGGUGAAUCAGACAUCGCAACAACACGCAAUCUGAUUGGUCAGAAGUGGACACACAGUAUGCGAAACUUUAGAAAAAUCGACCAUGAUCCGAAAAAAUAAAUGCCG